rnacentral:rRNA from 1 species
ACGGGUGAUAAAUGUCUGGGGAUCUGCCCGAUAGAGGGGGAUAACCUCUGGAAACGGUGGCUAAUACCGCAUAACGUCGCAAGACCAAAGAGGGGGACCUUCGGGCCUCUCACUAUCGGAUGAACCCAGAUGGGAUUAGCUAGUAGGCGGGGUAACGGCCCACCUAGGCCACGAUCCCUAGCUGGUCUGAGAGGAUGACCAGCCACACUGGAACUGACACACGGUCCACACUCCUACGGGAGGCAGCAGUGGGGAAUAUUGCACAGUGGGCGCAAGCCUGAUGCACCCGUGCCGCGUGUAUGAAAAAGGCCUUCGGGUUGUAAAGUACUUUCAGCGGGGAGGAAGGCGAUGUGGUUAAUAACCGCAUUGAUUGACGUUACCCGCAAAAGAAGCACCGGCUAACUCCGUGCCAGCAGCCGCGGUAAUACAGAGGGUGCAAGCGUUAAUCGGAAUUACUGGGCGUAAAGCGCACGCAGGCGGUCUGUUAAGUCAGAUGUGAAAUCCCCGGGCUUAACCUGGGAACUGCAUUUGAAACUGGCAGGCUUGAGUCUCGUAGAGGGGGGUAGAAUUCCGUGUGUAGCGGU